UAGUAACUGACCUGGUAAAGCACUGACCUUUUCAUUCUCUGAGAAGAUCCACAGUUGGUAUCGGACAGCUCUGACGGCUGGACCAAGGCAGGGACGUGGAUCACUUACAAUGAAGAGACAUCGGCGGCCGCCAUAACGAAAUAUGCAGUGGACAAUAAACUGGCCGGAGUGUUCGUGUUCGACACGUCAAUGGACACCAUGGACUUCGGCUCGGGCACGUUCACCUACAAGGUCAGCAAGACGGUUCGCAGCGUCCUGAACGGCGGUGGUCCCGGCCCGUCGCCCGGUAGCCAUGUCUGCACGCCAGCAGCGCAGUGCAACGUCUGCGCCGCCUGCUGCAAGACCUACCUGAAGACGCAGAGCGACUGCGAUGCGUGCGUGGCGCAGGCGUGCCCCAAGACGAACGUGUGCCAGCCGAGCGGCUCGUGUACCGUGUGCGCCGCCUGCUGCAAGAGCUACUUGAAAACGCAGAACGAUUGCGACGCCUGCGUCAAGUCUGAGUGCACCUAGCCUUGCAGCAUCCCGCGCUGUAAAACUAUAGUACUCGUACACAGUGCUUGCAGCCAGGUGUCACUGCGCUCCAGGCACCCAUAUACAUUCUUGCCAUAUUAGAACUACGCUCUGUGUGUGUGAGGGGGGGGGGGGGGUGGGGGCAGAGCACGCGUAGAACUUCUCUUUGCAAUGGCUGCCCCUGAUCUCUACGCUAUCAGUUCACACGCUUUUUUCACGUCUGAUUAUCUCACUGCAUUCAAUUGAUAGGUAGCUCUGCAUCUUUCUGCAUCGGUCAGUCUUUCGGCACUUCGAGCAUAUUUGAAGUGUGUGGUGCCUCAUUCGAAGUGCAGCGUGCAGCAGUUGUAGAUGUGUAGGUUAACUGUUCAGUAGCUGUUAUUCUGAGAGGCCAGGGGAAGGCAUGCAUUCUUAGUCUGUAGAGUAUGAGAGCUGAAUGCCAGUGGUGUCAGCUUCUCAGCAAGUCGGCACACAAUCAGACUACAGUCAGACCUUGCUUUUCCUGUCCUCUUUUAUCCGGAUCCCUCGCAAUGCGGAAGAAAAUAGCUGGUUACAGAUUCA